UACGUAGGGGGCAAGCGUUGUCCGGAUUUAUUGGGCGUAAAGAGCUCGUAGGCGGUUUGUCGCGUCUGCUGUGAAAACCCGAGGCUCAACCUCGGGCCUGCAGUGGGUACGGGCAGACUAGAGUGCGGUAGGGGAGAUUGGAAUUCCUGGUGUAGCGGUGGAAUGCGCAGAUAUCAGGAGGAACACCGGUGGCGAAGGCGGGUCUCUGGGCCGAUACUGACGCUGAGGAGCGAAAGCAUGGGUAGCGAACAGG
rnacentral:rRNA from 1 species